ACCCGCCAGAGAUCCAUCCAAAGGAGGCCACUGAGCUUCUUGAGAGAUCCAUCCAUCCUCAGAUUGUGGCCUCAUGAUGCAUCUUGAAAAAAAUAAAGCUAUGCUUAUCUGA